UGGUGAGUAACAGUGGAUUAUAGUGGAUUAUAGUGGUGUAUAACAGUGGAUAAUAGUGGUGUAUAACAGUGGAUAAUAGUGGAUUAUAGUGGAUUAUAGUGGAUUAUAGUGGUGAGUAACAGUGGAUUAUAGUGGAUAAUAGUGGUGUAUAACAGUGGAUUAUAGUGGAUUAUAGUGGUGUAUAACAGUGGAUUAUAGUGGAUUAUAGUGGUGUAUAACAGUGGAUUAUAGUGGUGUAUAACAGUGGAUUAUAGUGCAUUAUAGUGGUGUAUAACAGUGGAUUAUAGUGGUGUAUAACAGUGGAUUAUAGUGGAUUAUAGUGGUGUAUAACAGUGGAUUAUAGUGGUGUAUAACAGUGGAUUAUAGUGGAUUAUAGUGGACUAUAGUGGUGUAUAACGGUGGAUUAUAGUGGAUUAUAGUGGUGUAUAACGGUGGAUUAUAGUGGAUUAUAGUGGUGUAUAACAGUGGAUUAUAGUGGAUUAUAGUGGAUUAUAGUGGUGAGUAACAGUGGAUUAUAGUGGAUUAUAGUGGUGUAUAACAGUGGAUAAUAGUGGUGUAUAACAGUGGAUAAUAGUGGAUUAUAGUGGAUUAUAGUGGAUUAUAGUGGAUUAUAGUGGAUUAUAGUGGUGAGUAACAGUGGAUUAUAGUGGAUAAUAGUGGUGUAUAACAGUGGAUUAUAGUGGAUUAUAGUGGUGUAUAACAGUGGAUUAUAGUGGAUUAUAGUGGUGUAUAACAGUGGAUUAUAGUGGAUUAUAGUGGUGUAUAACAGUGGAUUAUAGUGGUGUAUAACAGUGGAUUAUAGUGCAUUAUAGUGGUGUAUAACAGUGGAUUAUAGUGGUGUAUAACAGUGGAUUAUAGUGGAUUAUAGUGGUGUAUAACAGUGGAUUAUAGUGGAUUAUAGUGGUGUAUAACAGUGGAUUAUAGUGGAUUAUAGUGGAUUAUAGUGGACUAUAGUGGUGUAUAACGGUGGAUUAUAGUGGAUUAUAGUGGUGUAUAACAGUGGAUUAUAGUGGAUUAUAGUGGUGUAUAACAGUGGAUUAUAGUGGAUUAUAGUGGAUGAUUUGGAAGAUCUAUUAGCAUCCAGUCCCUUUAGACACAGAAUGCUACAGCGUGAUAGACAGGUAGAAUGCUACAGCGUGAUAGACAGGCAGAAAGCUACAGCGUGAUAGAUAGAAUGCUACAGCGUGAUAGACAGGCAGAAUGCUACAGCGUGAUAGACAGGCAGAAUGCUACAGCGUGAUAGACAGGCAGAAUGCUACAGCGUGAUAGACAAGCAGAAUGCUACAGCGUGAUAGACAAGCAGAAUGCUACAGCGUGAUAGAUAGGCAGAAUGCUACAGCGUGAUAGAUAGAAUGCUACAGCGUGAUAGACAGGCAGAAUGCUACAGCGUGAUAGAUAGGCAGAAUGCUACAGCGUGAUAGAUAGGCAGAAUGCUACAGCGUGAUAGACAGGCAGAAUGCUACAGCGUGAUAGACAGGCAGAAUGCUACAGCGUGAUAGAUAGAAUGCUACAGCGUGAUAGACAGGCAGAAUGCUACAGCGUGAUAGACAGGCAGAAUGCUACAGCGUGAUAGACAGGCAGAAUGCUACAGCGUGAUAGACAGGCAGAAUGCUACAGCGUGAUAGAUAGACAGGCAGAAUGCUACAGCGUGAUAGAUAGGCAGAAUGUUACAGCAUGAUAGACAGGCAGAAUGCUACAGCGUGAUAGAUAGACAGGCAGAAUGCUACAGCGUGAUAGAUAGGCAGAAUGCUACAGCAUGGUAGAUAGAAUGCUACAGCGUGAUAGAUAGACAGGCAGAAUGCUACAGCGUGAUAGACAGGCAGAAUGGUACAGCGUGAUAGACAGGCAGAAUGCUACAGUGUGGUAGACAGGCAGAAUGCUACAGCGUGAUAGAUAGACAGGCAGAAUGCUACAGCGUGAUAGAUAGGCAGAAUGCUACAGCAUGGUAGAUAGAAUGCUACAGCGUGAUAGAUAGACAGGCAGAAUGCUACAGCGUGGUAGAUAGGCAGAAUGCUACAGCGUGAUAGACAGGCAGAAUGCUACAGCGUGGUAGACAGGCAGAAUGCUACAGCGUGAUAGACAGGCAGAAUGCUACAGCGUGAUAGAUAGGCAGAAUGCUACAGCGUGAUAGAUAGGCAGAAUGCUACAGCGUGAUAGAUAGAUAGGCAGAAUGCUACAGCGUGAUAGAUAGAUAGGCAGAAUGCUACAGCGUGAUAGAUAGAUAGGCAGAAUGCAGAUGAGGAGUUUCGGCAAUGGUUCGGGUUCCAUUUUAAAGACGUGAAGGAAUCCCUGAAAGGGUGUAAAUUUAGAGGAUAUCGUUCUAGUGCAGUACUUGGAUGAUUUGUUUUUAGCCUCAAAAGACCAUGAUACUUACAUACGUGGCCUCACCACACCGGUUAACUAACUAUUUGGCAAAGCAGGACCAUGAAGCGUCGUAUGAAAAAAGGCCAAUUGGCAAACAGGAGGAAAUGUAUUAGGUGGUCUUGAUUUCUAAAGGCAUGACAAACAUUACUAGCACCACACAUCAACACCAUUCGUGCUCUGGCAUGACCAAACACUCCUCGAACGCUCAGACAAACCCUGGGGGGGGUUUAAUUUAAUGAGAAACCUUAAUCUGUCUUAUUCUGAAAUAGCUGAACCUCUUACAGAAUUGACGAAAAGGGAGGAGGGUUCCCCUUGAGAGAAAAGAGCGGAGUCAAGAUUGUGAGGAAGCGUUUUUGAAGAGUUAAGGAAACCGUUGUGUCAAGCGCAUGAACUGGAGUUUCCUUUUAAAAUGUUUGUGAAUGAACAACUGUUCAUUCACCUGUUCCUUCAGUUAAUCAUUUAUUAAUGUGAUGCAUUUCUUCAUCUAUUUGUUGAUGAAUUCCUUUCUGUGUUCUUCAGCUUCAUGUUAUCCUCCUCCAUACGGUGAUACCUUGGAGAAUACUGCCUCCUGGUGCUACAACAGGAGAAGUGUUGAAUGAUAAAAGCAGAGGCUUGGAACUGACAUGAAUACUGUACAAUGAUGUAUAAUGACCCUACAUGACUGACAGGGGGAGCUGUUUUGAUGCCAUGACCCUACAUGACUGACAGGGGGAGCUGUUUUGAUGCCAUGACCCUACAUGACUGACAGGGGGAGCUGUUUUGAUGCCAUGAACCUACAUUUAAAAAAUAUAUAUAUAUAUAUUUCACCUUUAUUUAACCAGGUAGGCAAGUUGAGAACAAGUUCUCAUUUACAAUUGCGACCUGGCCAAGAUAAAGCAAAGCAGUUUGACACAAACAACAACACAGAGUUACACAUGGAGUAAAACAAACAUACAGUCAAUAAUAUAUUAGAAAAAUAAGUCUAUAUACAAAGUGAGCAAAUGAGGUGAGGUAAGGGAGGUAAAGGAAAAAAAAGCCAUGGUGGCGAAGUAAAUACAAUAUAGCAACUAAAAAACACUGGAAUGGUAGAUUUGCAGUGGAAGAAAGUGCAAAGUAGAAAUAGAAAUAAUGGGGUGCAAAGGCAAAAUAAAUAAAUACAGUAGGGGAAGUGGUAGUUGUUUGGGCUAAAUUAUAGAUGGGCUAUGUACAGGUGCAGUAAUCUGUGAGCUGCUCUGACAGCUGGUGCUUAAAGCUAGUGAGGGAGAUAAGUAUUUCCAGUUUUAGAGAUUUUUGUAGUUCGUUCCAGUCAUUGGCAGCAGAGAACUGGAAGGAGAGGCGGCCGAAGGAGGAAUUGGCUUUGGGGGUGACCAGAGAGAUAUACCUGCUGGAGCGCGUGCUACGAGUGGGUGCUGCUAUGGUGACCAGUGAGCUGAGAUAAGGCGGAGCUUUACCUAGCAAAGACUUGUAGACGACCUGGAGCCAGUGGGAUUGGCGACGAGUAUGAAGCGAGGGCCAGCCAACGAGAGGGUACAGGUCGCAGUGGUGGGUAGUAUAUGGGGCUUUGGUGACAAAACGGAUGGCACUGUGAUAGACUGCAUCCAAUUUAUUGAGUAGGGUAUUGGAGGCUAUUUUGUAAAUGACAUCGCCGAAGUCGAGGAUCGGUAGGAUGGUCAGUUUUACGAGGGUAUGUUUGGCAGCAUGAGUGAAAGAUGCUUUGUUGCGAAAUAGGAAGCCAAUUCUAGAUUUAACUCUGGAUUGGAGAUGUUUGAUGUGAGUCUGGAAGGAGAGUUUAGUCUAACCAGACACCUAGGUAUUUGUAGUUGUCCACAUAUUCUAAGUCAGAACCGUCCAGAGUAGUGAUGCUGGACGGGCGGGUAGGUGCAGGCAGCGAUCGGUUGAAGAGCAUGCAUUUAGUUUUACUUGUAUUUAAGAGCAGUUGGAGGCCACGGAAGGAGAGUUGUAUGGCAUUGAAGCUCGUCUGGAGGGUAGUUAACACAGUGUCCAAAGAAGGGCCAGAAGUAUACAGAAUGGUGUCGUCUGCAUAGAGGUGGAUCAGAGACUCACCAGCAGCAAGAGCGACAUCAUUGAUGUAUACAGAGAAAAGAGUCGGCCCAAGAAUUGAACCCUGUGGCACUCCCAUAGAGACUGCCAGUGGCCCGGACAACUGGCCCUCCGAUUUGACACACUGAACUUUAUCAGAGAAGUAGUUGGUGAACCAGACGAGGCAGUCAUUAGAGAAACCAAGGCUGCUGAGUCUGCCGAUGAGGAUGUGGUGAUUGACAGAGUCGAAAGCCUUCGCCAGGUCAAUGAAUACGGCUGCACAGUACUGUUUCUUAGGACCUUGAGCGUGGCUGAGGUGCACCCAUGACCAGCUCUGAAACCAGAUUGCAUAGC
rnacentral:lncRNA from 1 species